rnacentral:piRNA from 1 species
AACAUACAUGUAGACAGCAAAUUAAAC